CAGUUCGGACUGCAGGCUGCAACUCGCCUGCACGAAGUUGGAAUUGCUAGUAAUCGUGGAUCAGCAUGCCACGGUGAAUACGUUCCCGGGUCUUGUACACACCGCCCGUCACACCAUGGGAGCCGGUAAUACCCGAAGUCAGUAGUCUAACCGCAAGGAGGACGCUGCCGAAGGUAGGAUUGGCGACUGGGGUGAAGUCGUAACAAGGUAUC
rnacentral:rRNA from 1 species